AAUAUUCUUAAAUUGUGGUGAUGGUUGCACUGUGCGAAUAUUCUAAAUACCACUGAACUUUUCACUCAAGGUGGGUGAGUUUUGUGGUAUUGAAACCAUAUUUCAAUAAAGCCAUUUUUUAAGUGGUAACAGUGGCUGGGUGGGGGUCAGGGAACAGGAGUAACAGCAGUAACUGGGUGGGGGUCAGGAGCGGGUGGAAGGAGAGGACACAAGGAAAGUGGACCGCGGACGAUCCUCGAAGCCAGAAGACGGUACGUGGCGCUUCCUCGAGCUAGUGUUCUGUGAGCUUCAGAUGUGAACACUUUCCACGAUGAAAAGUUCUCUGAAAGAAGGUUGGGGCAGGGGCGGGGGCAAGAUGGGCGAAGGGGGUCAAAGGUACAAACGUCCAGCUACGAAAUAAAGUCCCAGGGACCCCAGUUAACACUAUGAUGCGUUAUCUGAAAGGUGCUAUGCCAAGAGACGGAAAAGAUCUCAUCGCCAGCAAAAGCGAUUCUGGAACUGUCUGUGGUGACGGAGGCAAACAGACCCUCAGCGGUGAUCAUCCCGCAGCCCACACAGAUACCAAAUCGCCGUGCCGCACACCGGAACCCGACACAGCGUCGCAGCUCAACUCCAGAUCAAUAAGACCAGCCUCCCGUUACCCAAGGACGUGACAGGCCCGUGGAGGACCCUGUCCAACGCUCCUGGUGAGGAGCUCCCGCUCGGCCACUCCCAUGCGCAGGGCAGUCAAUCUGUGUCCAGACCGACCGGCCACCGCUCUGCGGCCCAGUCUGGGCAGACCACCCUCACCAGCCAGCCCUUCGAACGUGGACCCAAGGAGGAAAGCCACGGGCCGAGACAGCGAAGGGACACGACAACUACAGCCACAGCAGCACACUUCCUGGACAUGCAGCACUCGCACCCGGGGCUCUGAGCUCUUCGCCCGGGAACUCGCUCGGGCCACACGGCAACCACGGCCAUCGGUGCCGUUCCGUCCCCAGUUCCCACGUCUACACAAAGGCCCCGUGCGGCGGGUGAGGGGCAGAAGCCGGCUCUGAACCCAGGCAGCCAGGCUCCCUCACGGGAAAGAGCCGCAAACCUCCCCGCGGGACAGCAGGACAGCCGCCACGUUCAGGCCCCACGUGGGACUCUGCCCCUGGAGAAGCACCUCCAGACCCGCGACGCUCAGCAGCCACGCCAGGGCAACAACUCCCAGCACCACCACCAACGCAACCCUCUUUCCCGCGCUCCAGACAGCCGUGUCCUGGCCCACAGGCGUCGUCUUGCCUCUCAAGCACCUGCUUCUAGGCUACAGCCUGCCCGGGACAAUGACAGCGCACCUCCCUUGGUGCCCGGGACCCCGGGAACAGGCCAGACUUCUCCUCCCCCGCUCCAGUCACCCCCAUGCCCUCUGCAUCACCCUCCUCACCGCCUCACGGGGCCGGCCCUGCCUUGGCCUGCCUCUGGGCCCGCUCCCGUCAGCCCGCGAUGCCUCCCUGUGUGCCCUGUCCCGUCUUCCCUCAGCCUCACCCUACACCUGCCUUCCUCGGGGACCUGAACUAAGGCCAAAGCUGUAGUGACCUUCCAAAAGGAGAGAACUGCUGAACGGGCCUCAUGCUACGAAGGCGUGGGGCGCAGGCAUGACAAGCAUGAGCCGCAUCGUUUCCAAACAAGUCGAGCCUGCAGAACAAGAACGAGCCUUGCGCCCAAGGAGGCAAACCCCUGUCCCGCCUGGACAUCACUGAGCUGGUGGUCUACGUCCCCAGGUGGCCUUCCAGGGAGACCUGGAAAGAAUAUUCAAACAAGAGCAAAAGACAAAAGUCGAUUGGCCCUCGGCACCAUCUGGCAUUUCUCCUGCGCGGACACCAGAGGGCUGACGCGUGCUCCCGCGACGGCACAUCACCCGCUGAGGCUGGAAGCAACGCCGGAGGAGCCCACGCGGUGGCACAGAGGACUGACACAGAGCAGGGUCCGCGCGGGACAGGACCCCUCUCGCAGACCCUAGCACCUCUCAGCAGUCACAGCCCCGCCCGGGCACCAGGGAAGCCUGAGACGGCGUCACAACUGUGCGUGGCCUUUCCUCACCGUGGACAGGGUGGGGGGUGGGGACAGGCUACGGAAGCCAAGGCACAGAGACCACCCCAGCGCGAGGAGACUCGGCUGCCCCCAGAACCACAGGGCGGGAAGCCUGCUUCAGGGCCCGGAGCCAGCAGCUCAGGCCACACGGGGACAAGCGGGAACAGCCAAGCGGGACACACUUAGGACAGUUUAGCACACAGAGCGUGUGGCCAGCUGGGCUGCCGUGAAGGCCAGCUAGGCCUCUCCUCGCUAAGAAAACCCAGAAGUAUGUGUA